rnacentral:lncRNA from 1 species
AAGCAGAUAUAGCAGCAAACCGGACAAGUGGUUUCGGUUUAACCACCAACAUCAUAAACGGCGGGUUAGAAUGCGGGAUUCCAGGAGAUGGACGAGUCAAUGACCGGGUCGGGUAUUUCCAAAGAUACGCUAAGCUGUUUAAUGUCAACACAGGACCUUUCUUAGACUGCGAGAACCAGAGGCCCUUCUCCUAGAAGACUAUCAUUGCAACUCUCUUUUAGUUUUUCUAUAAACUAAUACAAUCCAUGUACCAAUGAAACUGAAGUUUAAAAUCAUAACAAUAAAACUCCUUAAGCUGAGAGUGAGAGAUAUAAAUGUUUUUUUUAAAGCGUACCGUGACAAGAAGUUGUUAACCUCAGUCGCCGUUUCAUAUGUGCCUUCUACACCUGCCUAAAAAUGAUUCCUCCGUUGUCCAGCUUAGUAAUACCUGAAAGCGUGCAAGACAACUCAACUUUGAUACCUAACCUGUCAAUAGCAAAAGACCUCAGGAAAUACUUGAUCUUUUUCUUUUUACCCUUUUCUUCUCCAAAUAGAAAGAAACAAGUAGUGGAUACCUUGCAGAUAUUGC